rnacentral:rRNA from 1 species
ACGCUUGAAGUCAGUCGCGUUGGCCGGGGAUCAGCCUUGCUUUUGCAUGGUGUACUUUCUGGUUGACGGGUCAGCAUCAAUUUUGACCGCUGGAAAAAGACCUGGGGAAUGUGGCAGCUUCGGCUGUGUUAUAGCCCCUAGUCGCAUACAGUGGUUGGGAUUGAGGAACUCAGCACGCCGCAAGGCCGGGUUUCGACCACGUUCGUGCUUAGGAUGCUGGCAUAAUGGCUUUAAGCGACCCGUCUUGAAACACGGACCAAGGAGUC